UACAGAGGUCUCAAGCGUUGUUCGGAUUCAUUGGGCGUAAAGGGUGCGUAGGCGGCGCGGUAAGUCGGAUGUGAAAUCUCGGGGCUUAACUCCGAAACUGCAUUCGAUACUACCGUGCUUGAGGACUGGAGAGGAGACUGGAAUUUACGGUGUAGCGGUGAAAUGCGUAGAUAUCGUAAGGAAGACCAGUGGCGAAGGCGGGUCUCUGGGCCGAUACUGACGCUGAGGAGCGAAAGCGUGGGGAGCGAACAGG
rnacentral:rRNA from 1 species